CAGCUACAGGAUGUACUGGACAAGACACCAGAAGUGAUUGGGAAGGUGUGGGCCCUGGAAUGGGAAAGAGACAGACAUUAAGAGGCAAUUACACAAUAGUUCCG
rnacentral:lncRNA from 1 species